CAAUAGCGUAUAUUCAAGUUGUUGCAGUUAACAAGCUCGUAGUUGGAUUUUUGGUCUGAUGCCCUGACCCGCCUCAAUUUCGAGGUGCCUGCCGGCUGUGCGUCUACCAUCCUUCUAGAACACGUUCCUACCCUUCACUGGGCCGGGUUCGCGAUCUAGAUCUUUUACUUUGAACAAAUUAGAGUGUUUAAAGCAGGCUUUUGCUAUGAAAACAUUAGCAUGGAAUAAUAAUCUAGGACUUCGGUUCUAUUUUGUUGGUUUCUAGUACUGAAGUAAUGAUUGAUAUGGAUCGUUGGGGGUGGCUAGUAUUGAGCGGCCAGAGGUGAAAUUCUUGGAUUCGCUCGCCUAACUUAUGCGAAAGCAUUCCAAGGAGGUCUUCUUUAAUCAAGAACGAAAGUUGGGAGAUCGAAGAUGAUCAGAUACCAU
rnacentral:rRNA from 1 species